CUGUAAAAAUGCCGUUGAAACUGUUAGACUUGAGUGUAAAUGAGGUAGGCGGAAUGCGUGGUGUAGCGGUGAAAUGCUUAGAUAUCACGCAGAACUCCGAUGGCGAAGGCAGCUUACCAAGCUACAACUGACACUGAAGCACGAAAGCGUGGGGAUCAAACAGGAUUAGAUACCCUGGUAGUCCACGCAGUAAACGAUGAUUACUAGCUGUUUGCGAUACACAGUAAGCGGCACAGCGAAAGCGUUAAGUAAUCCACCUGGGGAGUACGCCGGCAACGGUGAAACUCAAAGGAAUUGACGGGGGCCCGCACAAGCGGAGGAACAUGUGGUUUAAUUCGAUGAUACGCGAGGAACCUUACCCGGGUUUGAACGCAGAGAGACAGGAGUGGAAACAUUCUUUUCAGCAAUGACUGUCUGCGAGGUGCUGCAUGGUUGUCGUCAGCUCGUGCCGUGAGGUGUCGGCUUAAGUGCCAUAACGAGCGCAACCCUUAUCUUUAGUUACUAACAGGUCAAGCUGAGGACUCUAGAGAGACUGCCAGCGUAAGCUGUGAGGAAGGUGGGGAUGACGUCAAAUCAGCACGGCCCUUACAUCCGGGGCGACACACGUGUUACAAUGGUAAGGACAAAGGGCAGCUACCGGGCGACCGGAUGCGAAUCUCUAAACCUUAUCUCAGUUCGGAUCGGAGUCUGCAACUCGACUCCGUGAAGCUGGAUUCGCUAGUAAUCGCGCAUCAGCCAUGGCGCGGUGAAUACGUUCCCGGGCCUUGUACACACCGCCCGU
rnacentral:rRNA from 1 species